rnacentral:rRNA from 1 species
AACUUUAACCAAGGGAUCUCUGGGCUCCCCCAUCAAAAAAAAGCGAACCAAAUUGCAAUAAUUAGGGCGAUCUGCUUUCUGCAAAUCAUCGAUUUCUUGAACCCCCCUUGCCCCCUUUGGCUUGCCCUGGGGGUAGGCUUGUUUCAAUA